UCUAACCGUGUAUUUAGAUUUUUAAUUUUGGGUCCCGUUUUUUAAAUUGGUCUACAUUAAGGUCCAAAGGGUCUAAAAUUAAACUUAGUUUGAUUUUAACAAAAAUUGAAUUCUUGGGGUACUUUGAUAUGCUGAAUCUAAACAUGUGUUUAGAUUUUUGAUAAUGGGCCCAGUUUUCAAGUUGGUCCAAGUUGGGAUCCAAAAUUAAACUUUGUUUGAUUUCAACAAAAAUUGAAUAUAUGGGGUUCUUUGAUAUGCUGAAUCUAAACAUGUAUUUAGAUUUUAGAUUUUUGGUCCAGUUUUCAAGUUGGUCCAAAUUGGGGUCCAAAAUUAAACUUAGUUUGAUUUCAACAAAAAUUGAAUAUAUGGGGUUCUUUGAUAUGCUGAAUCUUACCAUGUAUUUAGAUUUUUUAUUUGUGGGCCCGCUAUCAAAUUGGUUCAUAUUGAGGUCAAAAGGGUCCAAAAUUAAACUUUGUUUGAUUUCAUCAAAAAUUGAAUUAUUGGGGUUCCUUGAUAUGCCAAAUCUAACCGUGUUUUUAGAUUUUUAAUUUUGGGUCCCGUUUUUUAAAUUGGUCUACAUUAAGGUCCAAAGGGUCCAAAAUUAAACUUAGUUUGAUUUUAACAAAAAUUGAAUUCUUGGGGUACUUUGAUAUGCUGAAUCUAAACAUGUGUUUAGAUUUUUGAUUAUGGGACCAGUUUUCAAGUUGGUCCAAGUUAGGGUCCAAAAUUAAACUUUUUUUUUUUUGUUUGAUUUCAACAAAAAUUGAAUAUAUGGAGUUCUUUGAUAUGCUGAAUCUAACCAUGUAUUUUGAUUUUGGACAUUGGACCAUGAUAGGUAAAUUAAAAAAAAUUAAAGUUCUUAGACCAGAUUCUUUCUGUGUCAGAAACCUAUGCUGUGUCAAAUAUUUAAUCACAAUCCAAAUUCAGAGCUGUAUCAAGCUUGAAUGUUGUGUCCAUACGUGCCCCAACUGUUCAGGGUUCGACCUCUGCGGUCGUAUCAAGCUGCGCCCAGCGAAGCAUUUUAUUAUAGUAGUUUUUGUAAAUCUCUGUUAGAAUGUGAAUGGAAUCCUAUGUAUAACAUUUAUAUAUUGUAUUUUUGAGUGGAAGAGUGAUGUCCCUUAUUAGUGUGAUGGAGCUGAUCUACAUACCUUGUACAGAAUUAGAACGUGAAUUGACUAAUAAAACACUACGGUUUGAAUUCAAAUCAAAAUAUACAUAAGAAGGUGAAAUGACUUAUAAAACAUUACGGUUUGAAUUCAAAUCAAAAUAUACAUUUCUGUUUCUUAAAAAUACAUUUCUGUUUUUUAAACAUUCCAGUAGCUCUUUUCACACAAAAAAAGUUAUGACUAAAAUGAAUUGUUUGCGACUUUAAAGUAAUUUUUAUUUCCAAGAUCUAAUUAUGAAAAUGGCAAUAGUGUUGUCAGAAUGUUUGGCUUCUUUAAAUGAAAUUUUUUUUUAGAAAAGAACUAAGAGUCCACUUUGUUUAGGAUUUUAGUUGUUGUUAUUGACAGAUUGAUUAAAAUAUGAUAAGUGAUAUACUACUUGUCAAUCACAUUAAAGUUUUCACAGUGUUGUAACACAAAUAUCAACUUUUUAUGCACAGUUUGGAUUUAAUCUGAAAGCUGUAAAAAAAAAAAAUGAAGUGAAAUAUGUAGUGUUGUGUACCAUUGACUGUUGUACAAAUAAAUAAUGAUUUAUUUUCACUUUGUAAAGGAUGUGUUGGAGAGUCUGGAGGCACUUCAGCUUCAUACAAUACAGUUACAGGAAAGAUAAUGACAUUGCUAACAUAAAAUGUUAUUUUUCACGACGUCAAACUGGGACAUAUCAGGGAAAAGAUGCAUUUUUCUACUGAUUUUAAUCAUUAGUUUGAAAACAAGAACAUGGACCCCACUUUUUAAAAAUGACAUUAGGCUUGAUUAAGUAUGAAAAUUAUUUGUACCAAUUUUCAUGAACAAAUCACCAAUGGAAUUUUUUUGAAUUAGAUAAAUUUACAGCAAAAAUGCUGGUAUUUUUUUUCCCAAAAUCAUGAAAAUUUUAAAAAUGAAUUAUAUUCAAAGAAUUGAUCCAAAAAAUCACAGCAUAUUUAUGCAAAGAAGAUAUUCCAUAUGUUUUUACAAAAAUCUGCUUGUGUUUACAUUUUGAAACUAAAAAAUUUGGUAUGUCUCUCCAAAGGAUAGAAAUAUCCAGGAAACCGAAAUUUUGAGGAAUGUCUAAAUUUUGACCCCAUUUAUUUUUAAAAGUAACACAUGAAGGUAUAAGUUUUAUUACAUAUUUGAAUUGUGUAGGUAAAAAAUAACUUGUAUACAAAUGUCAAAAAUUCACCGUCGGAUCAAAACUGUAUCGUAUGCCCUUAAAGGAGAACGUGCAAAUAAGAAAUGAAUUGGGCAAACUUUCAUUUAAUAUCUUAACAUUUUGAAUUAUGUAAAGUUUCAAUCUGUUAUAUUGAAAACGUAAAGCUGUUGAUUGACUUUAGAAUAAAAAAUUCAAUUAACAAAAUCAAAACGAUAAAACACUUGUUCACAAAACAUCAUUUUCCUGUGCAGUGUGAACACAGUCUAAGCGUUUUUUAUGGUAUGUUGCAAACACUUAUUUUCAGUUGAGGUCAUUGGGCAGUGCAUUUGAUGAGUUUCAGAUUUAAAACUAAAUUAUCAUAUUUUUAUAAAAGGUUGGUUAGUUGACUUCAUUAGUCAAUCUUUUUAGAAAUAUCAAUGUGAAGACAAUCCAAUUUUGAAAUUUUUCAAUGAACAAUCACUUCAUAUAUUUUUUUUAACUGCCUUUAAACAGCAGAAUCAUUUUAAUGUUGUCAGAUGGUAGUAUAUUUUGUUGUGAAAUGGAUUGAAGGUAUCUUUCAUAUUGAAAAUGACAAACAUAUUGGUCUGAUGGAAGAAAAAGUUUUAUGAUUGAUUUUAAUAGAUUGUUAGUCAAAUAGAUGUGAUCAGCUAAAAGUGAAAAGUUUAAAUCUUUUACCAUGAAAAGUUAUUUGAACAUUCCUGAUUUAUGAAUGAAUGUGUAGCAUGGAAAAGUUUUGAAGGGCAAGAUUUGUACAUAGAAUAAUAUUUCAAAGAAAAGGUGCUUUUUGUUGUGAAAUAUAUUAAUGUUUGUAGAAAAAAAUAAUAAAUUGUCUUACAGAC